rnacentral:rRNA from 1 species
CAGGCUUAACACAUGCAAGUCGAGGGGCAUCAGGAAGAAAGCUUGCUUUCUUUGCUGGCGACCGGCGCACGGGUGAGUAACACGUAUCCAACCUGCCCUUUACUCGGGGAUAGCCUUUCGAAAGAAAGAUUAAUACCCGAUGGCAUAAUGAUUCCGCAUGGUUUCAUUAUUAAAGGAUUCCGGUAAAGGAUGGGGAUGCGUUCCAUUAGGUUGUUGGUGAGGUAACGGCUCACCAAGCCUUCGAUGGAUAGGGGUUCUGAGAGGAAGGUCCCCCACAUUGGAACUGAGACACGGUCCAAACUCCUACGGGAGGCAGCAGUGAGGAAUAUUGGUCAAUGGGCGCUAGCCUGAACCAGCCAAGUAGCGUGAAGGAUGAAGGCUCUAUGGGUCGUAAACUUCUUUUAUAUAAGAAUAAAGUGCAGUACGUAUACUGUUUUGUAUGUAUUAUAUGAAUAAGGAUCGGCUAACUCCGUGCCAGCAGCCGCGGUAAUACGGAGGAUCCGAGCGUUAUCCGGAUUUAUUGGGUUUAAAGGGAGCGUAGGUGGACUGGUAAGUCAGUUGUGAAAGUUUGCGGCUCAACCGUAAAAUUGCAGUUGAUACUGUCAGUCUUGAGUACAGUAGAGGUGGGCGGAAUUCGUGGUGUAGCGGUGAAAUGCUUAGAUAUCACGAAGAACUCCGAUUGCGAAGGCAGCUCACUGGACUGCAACUGACACUGAUGCUCGAAAGUGUGGGUAUCAAACAGGAUUAGAUACCCUGGUAGUCCACACAGUAAACGAUGAAUACUCGCUGUUUGCGAUAUACAGUAAGCGGCCAAGCGAAAGCAUUAAGUAUUCCACCUGGGGAGUACGCCGGCAACGGUGAAACUCAAAGGAAUUGACGGGGGCCCGCACAAGCGGAGGAACAUGUGGUUUAAUUCGAUGAUACGCGAGGAACCUUACCCGGGCUUAAAUUGCAGUGGAAUGAUGUGGAAACAUGUCAGUGAGCAAUCACCGCUGUGAAGGUGCUGCAUGGUUGUCGUCAGCUCGUGCCGUGAGGUGUCGGCUUAAGUGCCAUAACGAGCGCAACCCUUAUCUUUAGUUACUAACAGGUUAUGCUGAGGACUCUAGAGAGACUGCCGUCGUAAGAUGUGAGGAAGGUGGGGAUGACGUCAAAUCAGCACGGCCCUUACGUCCGGGGCUACACACGUGUUACAAUGGGGGGUACAGAAGGCAGCUAGCGGGUGACCGUAUGCUAAUCCCAAAAGCCUCUCUCAGUUCGGAUCGAAGUCUGCAACCCGACUUCGUGAAGCUGGAUUCGCUAGUAAUCGCGCAUCAGCCACGGCGCGGUGAAUACGUUCCCGGGCCUUGUACACACCGCCCGUCAAGCCAUGGGAGCCGGGGGUACCUGAAGUACGUAACCGCAAGGAUCGUCCUAGGGUAAAACUGGUGACUGGGGCU